UGCCAGCAGCCGCGGUAAUACGAACCGUGCGAACGUUGUUCGGAAUCACUGGGCUUAAAGGGUGCGUAGGCGGGCGGUCAAGUCGGAGGUGAAAUCCUACAGCUCAACUGUAGAACUGCCUACGAAACUGGUUGUCUCGAGGGAGGUAGGGGCAUGUGGAACUUCCGGUGGAGCGGUGAAAUGCGUAGAGAUCGGAAGGAACGCCGGUGGCGAAAGCGACGUGCUGGACCUCUUCUGACGCUGAGGCACGAAAGCUAGGGUAGCGAACGGGAUUAGAUA
rnacentral:rRNA from 1 species